GUUAGCUCCUCUGUGCUUUGUAGAUAUUACUUUUUAUAUGAUCAAUUUCCUUAUAAUAGUUACAGUGUAAAAGUGAAUAUUUCUAUUUCCCUAGUGAAGGGUUAAAACAUGCUUUAUGAACUCUUAUGUGUUUGCAUUGGAUGCAUGCUGCCCUGUGUUAGAUGCCUUUGUCUCUCAUACAGAUACCAGGCUUGUGUGGGUCUGGCAUCCAAGGUCAGCUCUAUACUAGAUGAAACCUGCUUUUUCUACUUCUGUGUGUUACUAAAAGAUCCUUUGUUAAGUUCCGUCUGAUGCAACGUAUAUAACAUCUGCCUAGCAACUGCUAUAUCCAAUUAUGUUAUGUCAAGUAUUAACCACCCCUACGUACCCCACUAGGGCACCACCCCUAAGCCAAUGAGCCCUGUUACACUUAUCAGUUACACCCUUAUGUGUUCUCUUUUUAUACCAAUGUUAAACAUUCAAUAAAACAGUGUGAACUUUUACUGCUUGUGUUUGUGCAUGUAACUGAUAGCGUAAGGGUUUACACUCCAGACGUCUGUGAGGCCAUCACAUCGAGGGUUAAAGAAAAUAAGGUCAAAUCCUUUCAGCUGGGGGUUAUGUCCGGGAUUCAGUGAUCGUCCCUGAAUGGUAAAAAUAGAGAAUUUAUUGUCUGUCUUUGUCAUACAGGAUUGCGGUCAUACACUGAAGCUGAAUCCGUGUCAGUGUUCCGGGAACACGUGACAAGGUAAUAUUUAAGUCCGGGACUUAAUAUUACGAAGUUUUAUGUAAAACCAUAAAACAGGUAUCAGGGAUACCAUAGAAUCUUUAAUGUCUGGGACUUAAAGAUUCGUCUGAGAAGGGACCAGGGGUCCAAGCGCACUUCUCCAAAGACGAACCUACACACCCCUUUAAAGUCGGAGACAGAGUCGUGGUGAAGGUGCUCCCCAGGAACAAGAGCCCAGGAGACUUCACCUAUGGUCCAGAGACAGAGGUCGUAGCAGUUACCCGAACAGCAGUCCUGACAGAGGAAAGUCCUACCUGGAUCCAUGCAUCCCGAGUAAAAAAGGUUCCUAGACCAGACCUAGAGAGGGAAGCAAGUGAUUCCAGUGAGGUACGAACCGGGGCAGACAGCCCUGACCUCCCACCUAGCGAAGACAGAAGAACAGAAAACGAUGAAGAACCUGCCCCCUAUCUUUAUCCUGGGGACUAUCUCGAUAGCCCUACUGGCCCUCAUUCACCUCACAAUAUGUGAAGUCGACAUCACACAAACAGAUGGGGUCCCCACCUUGUGGUACAAUUCCUCCAAUACACACGUAGCCACAUAUAUCCUUGACUAUUUUAUGUUCCCCAAAAUUGCUGAUGACAAAUAUUAUAUACAACAAAGGAGGAAAUCAGGAAUGUCUGAGACAGUAUAUAUUUGUGUUACUGACGAAUGGUACUAUGACAAUAGAUAUUAUGGAUCUAAUUGUAAUUCCUGGGAAGCUGUGGGGUGGAAUACAGGAGUAGAUUGGAAAUAUGGCCCAUCGUUUGCAAAGAAUAGAUGGAGCAAAUAUGGAGUACCCCUACUUUCUAGACUAUCCAUUCAUAAGAUGGAUGAAGGCCCAAAUUCAUACAGGUUUAGACUAAACAUAGUGAACCCUAGCAGAAGCGACAAUGAGACUUAUGUACUUGGUAUAUGGUGGCAAGCAGGAUACUAUAGUGCAAGACAAAUGUUUUAUUUGUGGGACAUGUACAAAAACCCAAAAUACCAGCCUAAAAUUGCUCCCCAAAACAAACCUUUAAAGCCCCAUAUUGCCACUUUUAAAGAUAUGGUGGCUAUUACUAACCCUACCUUUGAAGACACCCUAGCUAUUGAAACUGGUUUCUCUGACAUUAAUUUUUGGUUGGAAUGGAUGAAGUAUAGUGCUAACAAACACAAUAAAAGCAACUGUUAUGUCUGUGGCAAAUCUAGGCCCCACCUAGGUACAGUGCCCCUUAAUAUACCCCUAGAACAAGAAAAUUGUUUUUUUUUCAGCCUUUUUAAUGACACCAAAACAAAUGACAGUCAGUGCGAAAUGUGGAAAAGGGAAUAUCCCAUAUUGUCAAAAAAAUCCCAACCCAGGAAGCACCAUAACUAUAUAUCCUGGAAACUACACUUGUUAUACAUCUAACACCACCACAGGGAGAAAUUUAAAAACCUUCCCACCAGGGUAUUGUGCAAAUAAGCAUAUUCAUACUUGUAACUUUAAUUCUUGUAGGCAUUAUAGUUUAUUGUAUAAUUCCCUGUGGAAAGAAACUUACCUCCAAAGGCAUUGAUAAGGCCCUGAUGUAUUAUGACAUAACCACCAGUCCUGUCACCUCCUCUGAUAGUAAGGGACCCGACGAUUAUGUCCAAUAGCUCAAGAACUGGAGGAACAAGAAAGGAGCCUCACUCAAGAAUCAUGUCAUAUAUUAAUCAUGAUUCUAAGAGGGGAUUGAAGGGUUAGCUCCUCUGUGCUUUGUAGAUAUUACUUUUUAUAUGAUCAAUUUCCUUAUAAUAGUUACAGUGUAAAAGUGAAUAUUUCUAUUUCCCUAGUGAAGGGUUAAAACAUGCUUUAUGAACUCUUAUGUGUUUGCAUUGGAUGCAUGCUGCCCUGUGUUAGAUGCCUUUGUCUCUCAUACAGAUACCAGGCUUGUGUGGGUCUGGCAUCCAAGGUCAGCUCUAUACUAGAUGAAACCUGCUUUUUCUACUUCUGUGUGUUACUAAAAGAUCCUUUGUUAAGUUCCGUCUGAUGCAACGUAUAUAACAUCUGCCUAGCAACUGCUAUAUCCAAUUAUGUUAUGUCAAGUAUUAACCACCCCUACGUACCCCACUAGGGCACCACCCCUAAGCCAAUGAGCCCUGUUACACUUAUCAGUUACACCCUUAUGUGUUCUCUUUUUAUACCAAUGUUAAACAUUCAAUAAAACAGUGUGAACUUUUA